rnacentral:rRNA from 1 species
CCUACGGGUGGCAGCAGUAGGGAAUCUUUCACAAUGGGCGAAAGCCUGAUGGAGCAACGCCGCGUGCAGGAUGAAGGCCUUCGGGUUGUAAAGUUCUUUUAUCAGCGAGAAAUAUGAUAGUACCUUCUUAAUACGGCUCGGCUAACUCCAUUCCAGCAGCCGCGGUCCUACGUAGGAUCCGAGCAUUAUCCGGAGUGACUGGGUGUAAAGAGUUGCGUGGGUGGCAUGAUAAUUAGCUAGUGAAAUCUGCUGGCUAACCCAUUGAGACUAUUAGUGAAACUGUUAAGCUAGAGACCGUUAGGGGUAACUGGAAUUCCUAGUGUAGGAGUGAAAUCCGUAGAUAUUAGAAGGAACACCAAUAGCGUAGGCAGGUUACUGGGACGUGUCUGACAUUAAGGCACGAAAGCGUAGGGAGCAAACGGGAUUAGAUACCCGAGUAGUC